UUAUCCUUGCAUCUUUAUAAACUUUGAUGAAGUAAAGAUGAAAAUGUUUUUAUUUAUUUGUUUAUUGGGUUCUUUUCUGUCUUAUUAAGGUGUUAUGUAUUGAAACUCUGAAUAAGUGCAUGUUUGAUUUGUGUUUGAAUAUUGUUUGGUUUUUUUGACAGCUCGUUAGUCCUGGUGCAUGGUUGUGCGAUCUUACCUUGGAACGAUAUGAGGUUAGGGAGAAGAAAAUAUCCAAAAAGAGACCAAGAGGUUUGAAAGCAAUGGGAAACAUGGAGUCUGACUCUGAGUAGAGAGAAAAGUUAAUGAGACUAUGAAUGUUGAGAAGUGAAGAUGCUAAGCUUUAUGUUUGGUAAGGAUGUAGGAAAUGCAUGGAUUUUGUAAAGCAUGGCAUAACAUCAAAGCUGGAUGCCAACUCAUCGAAAUCAAAAUAUUAAAUAUUUUAGCUUUGCGCUCCUUGCCUUCUUUACCUUUCUUUCCUAGUCUGGAAAACUGCUUCGAAAUUGCAAAUGACUAGGUGUCCUCAAAGAGAGGCAUUUUCACUAACACAAUGUGUCUCACAACACCUUUGACAACAUUUCCUAUUAUUCAUUUUAUCACACAAAUUCUCAUUUA